GUCAUUUUUCAGCCUUUUGGCUAAGAUCAAGUGUAGUAUCUGUUCUAUUCAAUUUAAUAAAAUAUAUUAUAUAUUAAAUUGUGUAUAUAUA
ensembl:snRNA U2 U2 spliceosomal RNA